UACGUAGGGUGCAAGCGUUGUCCGGAAUUAUUGGGCGUAAAGAGCGCGUAGGCGGAAGUUUAAGCGGUGCCUGAAAGCCCCCGGCUCAACCGGGGAGGGUGGUGCCGAACUGGGCUUCUUGAGGGCGAUAGAGGAGAGUGGAAUUCCGGGUGUAGCGGUGAAAUGCGUAGAGAUCCGGAGGAACACCAGUGGCGCAGGCGGCUCUCUGGGUCGACCCUGACGCUGAGGCGCGAAAGCGUGGGGAGCAAACAGG
rnacentral:rRNA from 1 species